AGUCACCACUGCUCUCACACAGAUCUUAUGUAAUGUGGUGGGACACCUCUACCUUAUGAAACCCACCAGUAGAUAAGGUUAUACAUACCUACAGCAUAUAUGAAUGAAGCAGUUCGAAGCAUCGUGUUAAUAACAACAUCAAGCUGUAAUAUUAGCUGACAGUAAACUUACUUUAAAGGGGAACGCUGGGCCAUUAUUGGUAUCGCACCGUCCAGCUGAGUUGUCUAGUCCAUAGCUAACUAGCUACCUGUGCUACCUGUUACGCCCGAAUUCCACAAGGCAGGACUGACUAACAGACAUUUAAAUAAACAUUCAUCUGAGUGACACCAACUUAGAAGCCAACGUCACAGACCCCCCGAUGGACCACUCCAACGUGCUCACGCUGAGCCCGGUGAUGUGUUGAGACCAGUAAAUGACUGAGUGAAACUGUGAUAGACUGAGGGUGAGCUGUUUCAACAGGAAGGUUUUCCUUGUACAGCUCUGUAUGGUGGAUCAUCUCUGACUGUCCUCCAUCUGGAUCUGCACCAAGAUGUUUGUUAUCUCCUGGUCCCUCUCUCAUGUCUCACGACCUUCACUCACCUCCCGGGGAACUCCUCUCCUCAGCUGCCUCUUCAGGCCUUCAUAAAUCAUGAACUGGAUGGCGGGAUUCAGCACCAGCAGCAGGG